GCUUUCCCGCCUGCUCCAGCUCCGUCUCCAGCUGCCAGGAUGGAGCCGGGUCGGGACCAUCCGGGAAAGGGGACGCCCUCCCGGACCCCGGCUCACCCUCGGGGGCGCCGGCUGCCCGCACGCGCCUCUCCCGCCACCAGCGCCGCCCCGGUAUUUAUGAGUUCGCGGGUGCCGAGGCCUCUUGCCGCCUACAGCCGUCCCAGCCCCGGAAGAGCCGGUCGCCUCGGGGUGACAGCCUCCCUAGACAGCCAGGGCCCCGGGUCCCACAGGUCCGGCCGGUCCUGCCUGGGCGCCCCACACCCACCCGCCCACCCCACCAGGGCGUGGCGCGGGAAGGGGGACCCAGGAAGGUUAUGAUACGUCUCCGGCGCGCCACCUCUGAGCCGGCCACCAGGUGAGAGCCCAGGCAGGUAACCCUGCGCUCGUCCCUCAGGCGCCCACUCAUCAGCUGGGGAGCCCCAGGGCACGGACACCGGCCCCUAUCCUGGCCCUGCCCGAUCCCCAGGUACCCAGGUGUGCAGGACCGGGGGAUCCCCAACCUUUCCAGCCUCGCUGCAUCUUCCUCCAGCCUUCCGGCUUCCUUCCUUUCCAUGCUGAGCCCACUGACCCCUCCUCAGAAGCCCGGGGCAACCUCAAAACAAAACCAGAAUCCCGGAAUUGCAGUGGGCUUUCUGAGCUGUGCGACCUAGAGACGAAGACUUGCGAUGUUGCCCAGGCUGGUCUCAAACUCCUAGGCUCAAGGGAUCCUUCCACCUUGGCCUCCCAGAGUGCUGAAAUUACAGGCGUGACCCACUGUGCCUGGCCAAGAAUAGUAAGAUGUUAAUGAUAGAAUCCAGUUGGAUAUAUGGCGGAUAUAUGUGUGUUCCUUGUAAAGGUCUUUCAGUUUUCCUGUGCAUUUGAAAAUGUUCAUAAUAAGAUGUUGGGGAAAAUGCUUGGGGACAUCCACGUAGUUGCUGUUGUCGACCUUUAUGGUGAAGCCACAGCAGCAACUGAUUCCCGAGUGAUUGACACGCUGUGUGUUCAUUUAAUGACCCUGACAAUCUUUAAUGCAGACUUUAGAAAUUUUACAGAUGGACCCAUUUUACAGACGAGGAAACUGAGGCUCAGCAAGGCUAAGCACCUUGUCGUGUGACCUACAGGUCACCGACUGGGUGGGGGGCAGACAAGGUGAAUGGUAGAGGGACAGCUCCCUUCCAGAAAGAACGGUAGCAUGCACCUGGGGACAGGGACCAGGGCUAACAGGUCUUGGGGUCCCCCCGGGAAUGAUCCCCGUUAUCGCAGCUUCCCUGUAUGGAGUGCUUGGCUGUGUGCCGAAUGCUCUGCAUGAGUAAUCCCAUUGAUACUGCAUGCUGCUUAUUAAGCCCAUUUUAUAGAUGGAGAAACUGAGGCUAGAGACAUUGAGCAGUUUACCUAAAAUCACACAACUGGUGUGUGGCAGAGAAGCCAGGACUAGAACCCUGGUGUGUCUGAUUUCAAAGCCUGGUGUGUGAAAACUUUUUUUUUUUUUUUUUUGAGACAGAGUUUCGCUCUUGUUGCCCAGGCUGGAGUGAAAUGGCAUGAUCUCGGCUCAAUGCAACCUCCGCCUCCCGGGUUCAAGCGAUUCUCCUGCCUCAGCCUAUGGAGUAGCUGGGAUUACAGGUGCGCACCACCAUGGC
rnacentral:lncRNA from 1 species